rnacentral:tRNA from 1 species
GCGGAUUUGGCCCAUAGGUUGGGCACCUGCCUUCCAAGCAGACCAAGCGAGUUCGAGUCUCGCAAUCCGCU